UUAUUUUGUGUUCAGUAGUUUCCAUGGGUUAAAUUUUUUUAUUUAAAAAAGUUCUUCCUCUGGCUACUGCGAAAUCUAAUACAGGUUAGAUGGUUCGAAUCCUUUCUGUUAUUUUGAUGUCAAAAGUAUUUGACAAUGGUUAUAUGAACUUAUAAAUCUGUUGCCAUUAUUCCUCUUUUUAAUUUGAUUGUAAUGUAUUUUUUGUUGGUUUUCUAUUAUUUGUAUGGACAUACAAGUUGCAAAAGCUGCUGGAGAUAAGUGGAAAUUCUUGACAAAUGGGUGAGGAGAAAUAACUUCAUGUUGCCAAGGCUGAAAAUCACAAGUUUGACUACGAGAAGAACAUUGAGACCGUACAACAAGAAAUUGAAGAAAUAUCCAAAGGAAGAUGAGGGAUCUGAAAAAUCAGUGCCAGAGGUUAGGAUGAAAGAGAAAGGGUGCAAGAGCAUAAAAACUACACGCUACACAAACCUCUUGAAGCUAAGGACAUUGCAGCUAAGAAAGCUCAGAGAAAUUCUGAAUAUUUAAGGGAGAAAGAGAAGAAAACGGUAUCAGCGAAAGGCUACAAUUGUUUAAGAAAUAUGUGAAGCAAUGAAAUUGAGCAAGGAAUCGUCUGAUGAUGGUGGCAGAAGCUGCUCAUUACGCCGAAGUGGCUACUCAUAAAACAGAUGUGGUUGGGUAGAUAGUGCAAGGGACAAACUCGAUUGCAGGGACGGUGGAAGGUGCAGUGGGAUAUGCAGGGCAUAAGGUGGCUAUAAGAAUGUGGAGUUGAUUAAAAAUAAAUCAGCAGCGGCUGCUAAUAUGGUGGUUGGAUACACAGUGAGCCAGAAAGAGAAAGCUCAACACAAAUGCCAAGAAAUGCACCAGAAACUGUUUUUAGAUUUGUUGAGUGGGGGUGAGGAAGAGAAGCUACCAGGGUUUGUCACAGAAUCAAGAAGAUGCUAUGGACCGAUGUAAGAGAAAUUAGAAGUAAGGAAAUUGUAUUCGGAUAUGGACCAAAAGGGUUCGGGUAUGAAGAAAGAUGUUUAAAUAUGGAACAAAUGGAAUAUUUUUUCAAUUGUUUUUGCUUAUAAGGGUCCUUUAUCUAAAUAGCAUGAGACUAUGCUUCAGAAUAAUUCCCUUCUAAAUAAAAACCGCUCUUUUUCUAUUAAAUGGGUUGAAGUAUGUAACUGGUUAAGGUUUAUCAAUCUAAUCAAUCUCUUCAUAUUUUCCUUUGAAUUACUAAUAUUUAUCUACUCUUUGGAGACUAAGUCAGUGGACUUUAUACUUUGAAGUGGAUCGUACAACACUAUCAUACCAAGAACAUUAGCUACCUUCAAUUUAAAAAUACCAAAAUUUCAAACAUGUGAUUGCAGACAAAUAUCUUGGAUGGAAGUCAUCCUCAUAAUCAAAUCACUUCAAUCGACUUGCAUGUUAAUUUGUAUCAUAUUGUAUAAUAGCAGACACAUAUAUAUGUGCAAAUACUACAUAUAAAUACACAUAAAUUUGUAUUUUGAUCGGCAAGAGACGUCGGAGACCAUAUAUGUUUUCACACAAUAAUCAACAGGAAGAACCAUAUUAAUCUUGGAUGAUGCAAUUAAAUAAGAAAAAUGCUUAAAAUUACUAAAUAUAACUACAAAUAGUAAUAAAUAAUUAAAUUAAAAAUUAAUCAAAAAUGAUAUGUGAUAUCAAUAUACAAAGAAGAGAAAGAAAAAAAACCCAAAAAACUAAA